rnacentral:rRNA from 2 species
GCAAACUGCGAAUACCGGAGAAUGUUAUCACGGGAGACACACGGCGGGUGCUAACGUCCGUCGUGAAGAGGGAAACAACCCAGACCGCCAGCUAAGGUCCCAAAGUCAUGGUUAAGUGGGAAACGAUGUGGGAAGGCCCAGACAGCCAGGAUGUUGGCUUAGAAGCAGCCAUCAUUUAAAGAAAGCGUAAUAGCUCACUGGUCGAGUCGGCCUGCGCGGAAGAUGUAACGGGGCUAAACCAUGCACCGAAGCUGCGGCAGCGACGCUUAUGCGUUGUUGGGUAGGGGAGCGUUCUGUAAGCCUGCGAAGGUGGCCUGUGAGGGUUGCUGGAGGUAUCAGAAGUGCGAAUGCUGACAUAAGUAACGAUAAAGCGGGUGAAAAGCCCGCUCGCCGGAAGACCAAGGGUUCCUGUCCAACGUUAAUCGGGGCAGGGUGAGUCGACCCCUAAGGCGAGGCCGAAAGGCGUAGUCGAUGGGAAACGGGUUAAUAUUCCCGUACUUGGUGUUACUGCGAAGGGGGGACGGAGAAGGCUAUGUUGGCCGGGCGACGGUUGUCCCGGUUUAAGCGUGUAGGCUGGUUUUCCAGGCAAAUCCGGAAAAUCAAGGCUGAGGCGUGAUGACGAGGCACUACGGUGCUGAAGCAACAAAUGCCCUGCUUCCAGGAAAAGCCUCUAAGCAUCAGGUAACAUCAAAUCGUACCCCAAACCGACACAGGUGGUCAGGUAGAGAAUACCAAGGCGCUUGAGAGAACUCGGGUGAAGGAACUAGGCAAAAUGGUGCCGUAACUUCGGGAGAAGGCACGCUGACACGUAGGUGAAGUGAUUUACUCACGGAGCUGAAGUCAGUCGAAGAUACCAGCUGGCUGCAACUGUUUAUUAAAAACACAGCACUGUGCAAACACGAAAGUGGACGUAUACGGUGUGACGCCUGCCCGGUGCCGGAAGGUUAAUUGAUGGGGUCAGCGCAAGCGAAGCUCCUGAUCGAAGCCCCGGUAAACGGCGGCCGUAACUAUAACGGUCCUAAGGUAGCGAAAUUCCUUGUCGGGUAAGUUCCGACCUGCACGAAUGGCGUAAUGAUGGCCAGGCUGUCUCCACCCGAGACUCAGUGAAAUUGAACUCGCUGUGAAGAUGCAGUGUACCCGCGGCAAGACGGAAAGACCCCGUGAACCUUUACUAUAGCUUGACACUGAACAUUGAGCCUUGAUGUGUAGGAUAGGUGGGAGGCUUUGAAGUGUGGACGCCAGUCUGCAUGGAGCCGACCUUGAAAUACCACCCUUUAAUGUUUGAUGUUCUAACGUGGACCCGUUACCCGGGUUGCGGACAGUGUCUGGUGGGUAGUUUGACUGGGGCGGUCUCCUCCUAAAGAGUAACGGAGGAGCACGAAGGUUGGCUAAUCCUGGUCGGACAUCAGGAGGUUAGUGCAAUGGCAUAAGCCAGCUUGACUGCGAGCGUGACGGCGCGAGCAGGUGCGAAAGCAGGUCAUAGUGAUCCGGUGGUUCUGAAUGGAAGGGCCAUCGCUCAACGGAUAAAAGGUACUCCGGGGAUAACAGGCUGAUACCGCCCAAGAGUUCAUAUCGACGGCGGUGUUUGGCACCUCGAUGUCGGCUCAUCACAUCCUGGGGCUGAAGUAGGUCCCAAGGGUAUGGCUGUUCGCCAUUUAAAGUGGUACGCGAGCUGGGUUUAGAACGUCGUGAGACAGUUCGGUCCCUAUCUGCCGUGGGCGCUGGAGAACUGAGGGGGGCUGCUCCUAGUACGAGAGGACCGGAGUGGACGCAUCACUGGUGUUCGGGUUGUCAUGCCAAUGGCACUGCCCGGUAGCUAAAUGCGGAAGAGAUAAGUGCUGAAAGCAUCUAAGCACGAAACUUGCCCCGAG